rnacentral:rRNA from 1 species
UACGUAGGGGGCAAGCGUUAUCCGGAUUUACUGGGUGUAAAGGGAGCGUAGACGGUAUGGCAAGUCUGAAGUGAAAGCCCAGGGCUUAACCCUGGGACUGCUUUGGAAACUGUUAGACUAGAGUGCUGGAGAGGUAAGUGGAAUUCCUAGCGUAGCGGUGAAAUGCGUAGAUAUUAGGAGGAACACCAGUGGCGAAGGCGGCUUACUGGACAGUAACUGACGUUGAGGCUCGAAAGCGUGGGGAGCAAACAGG